ACUAUGAAACCGUAAAAAAAAAAAUGUUAUCUGAGUAAUAUGUGAGGAAUCGAAUUUUUUCAGUAGUAACGAAUGUUCCUAUACAACUAGUCAAAUUCUACCAAAGUCAUGUUUUUUUUCUGCGGAAGCAGUCGAUAUUUUUUCAACAUCAAACCUCGGCUGUAAUGAAAUUUCAACUUUGGAACUCAUCUGUUAAUAAACAUGAGAUUAGAAGCAUACAUAGUGAUUCACAAAAUGUUUUCAAGAGAAGUAGAAGAAGUACAGUCGAUAAAAUGUACAUCAGCAGAAACACAGAUAUCACUCGGUGAAUUUGAGGUCAAAGUUUCGAAGUGACUAAGAAUAUACUUUGGGAAACACUUGAUUCAGAAAUACACGUGAUAAGACCAAUACACACAAAGCUUUAUCAUUUGUGUAUUUAGAUUACACAAUAGUAUACACUAUACAAAGAAUAUAACUGUCUCCAACGCCAUCGCAUAAUGUUCGGACAAAAGAGGUAAGAUUAUCGUUUUAUAACAAUUUAAAUAAAUUGUACAAUAAUUAAAAUAAUUUAUGUUAAUUAAAUUAAAUCGUAUA